rnacentral:pre_miRNA from 1 species
AUCAUACUCCCUCCGCCCCAAAAUUCUUGUCUUAGAUUUGUCUAGAUACAGAUGUAUCAAGUCACGUUUUAGUAUUUUGAUACAUCCGUAUCUAGACAAAUCUAAGACAAGAAUUUUGGGACGGAGGGAGUACUUA